GACGAACGCUGGCGGCGUGCCUAAUACAUGCAAGUUGAGCGAUGAAGAUUGGUGCUUGCACCAAUUUGAAGAGCAGCGAACGGGUGAGUAACGCGUGGGGAAUCUGCCUUUGAGCGGGGGACAACAUUUGGAAACGAAUGCUAAUACCGCGUAACAACUUUAAACAUAAGAUUUAAGUUUGAAAGAUGCAAUUGCAUCACUCAAAGAUGAUCCCGCGUUGUAUUAGCUAGUUGGUGAGGUAAAGGCUCACCAAGGCGAUGAUACAUAGCCGACCUGAGAGGGUGAUCGGCCACAUUUGGACUGAGACACGGCCCAAACUCCUACGGGAGGCAGCAGUAGGGAAUCUUCGGCCAUGGACGAAAGUCUGACCGAGCAACGCCGCGUGAGUGAAGAAGGUUGUCGGAUCGUAAAACUCUGUUGGUAGAGAAGAACGUUGGUGAGAGUGGAAAGCUCAUCAAGUGACGGUAACUACCCAGAAAGGGACGGCUAACUACGUG
rnacentral:rRNA from 1 species